CCCUUAGAUGUUCUGGGCCGCACGCGCGCUACACUGAUGCAUUCAACGAGUCUAAAACCUGGUCUGAGAGGGCUGGGUAAUCUUUUGAAAGUGCAUCGUGAUUGGGAUAGAUGAUUGCAAUUCUUCAUCUUCAACGAGGAAUGCCUAGUAAACGCAAGUCAUCAGCUUGCAUUGAUUACGUCCCUGCCCUUUGUACACACCGCCCGUCGCACCUACCGAUUGAAUGUUUCGGUGAAGAUUCCGGAUAGGACUUUUUUGAUUUAUUUCAAUUUUGUCUUAAAAGCUAUCUAAACCUCAACAUUUAGAGGAAGGUGAAGUCGUAACA
rnacentral:rRNA from 1 species